rnacentral:snoRNA from 1 species
AAACCAUGAUGAGGACACUCUAAGAGAAGAUCCUUAAAACAUUCCAUACACCUAGAAAAUGAUUCAUUAUGAAACUGGAGAAUGUCGUUCCUAAGUUU